rnacentral:rRNA from 1 species
UACGUAGGGGGCAAGCGUUGUCCGGAUUUAUUGGGCGUAAAGAGCGUGUAGGCGCCAGACAGGUCCGUUGUGAAAACUCGAGGCUCAACCUUGAGAUGUCGAUGGAAACCGUCUGGCUAGAGUCCGGAAGAGGAGUGUGGAAUUCCUGGUGUAGCGGUGAAAUGCGCAGAUAUCAGGAAGAACACCCGUGGCGAAAGCGGCUCUCUGGAACGGUACUGACGCUGAGACGCGAAAGCGUGGGGAGCGAACAGG